rnacentral:lncRNA from 1 species
UACAUAACCACCCCUGUCCCUUCCAUUCAAUCUGGCUCUCCCCCUACAGGGCUCCAUGCUGAAAAUGCCACAGGACCAAGGAUAGAGCCUUGUGGGACACCGUCUGGACCUGUCUGAGCACUGUCACGGCUGUUUGCUAGCUCCCUGCAGGCAUGUUGGUGCUUGGAUGAAUGAGGGAAAAGCAUGUCCAGUGCCGGCAACCAGAGCAAACUCAGAACUGGAAGAGGGAGGUCCUUUUGAAGCGCCCCUCUCUGGUCAUCUCCAUGCAUGAUAUCACAUGACAGGGGAAAGAACAGUCACCUUGGAAAACAAAAGGUAAUAGUUGUUAAUCACUUUAAUGAGGCAUGACAACAUCACUGUCCAUUUCUCACCCACAGCAAGGGAGCAUGAUGGACCCAAACUAGAUUAGUGAUUAACUGUGUUUGUGGCACAUUGUAUUUAGUGCUACAAAGGUGCAGUGUCCCAGCGGCCC